AAAUUCCUUUUGGUUCCCAUUAUUCUGGGAUGAGGAUGACUCUCCAUUGAGUAAGUGUAUACUACUAUUCUGAAAUGCCUGUCCAGGUAAAGAAUUUCCAUUAUUCUGGGAUGACUCUCCUUCAAGUAAGUGUAUACUACUACUCUGAAAUGCCUGUCCAGGUAAAGAAUUUCCAUUAUUCUGGGAUGACUCUCCUUCAAAUAAGUGUAUACUACUAUUCUGAAAUGCUUGUCCAGGUAAAGAAUUUCCAUUAUUCUGGGAUGACUCUCCUUCAAGUAAGUGUAUACUACUACUCUGAAAUGCCUGUCCAGGUAAAGAAUUUCCAUUAUUCUGGGAUGAUUCUCCAUCAAGUAAGUGUAUACUACUGCUCUGAAAUGCCUGUCCAG
rnacentral:lncRNA from 1 species